AUAUUAGAGAAAAUAAGGAUAAGAAGGAAAGAGAAAAGGGGAAAGAGAAAAAGAAGAAAGAGAGAACGGGAGAAAGAGGGAGAGAAAGGGAAGGGGCAAAAUCCCUAGGGAAGGAAAGAAGGAGGAGAAAUUCUCCAUGAAGAAGAAGAAGAAGAAGAACAAAGGUAUAAUUUCUCUAAUUUCUUUUUGUAAUUUGUUAGAAGGGGGUUUUGAUUUGGAAGUGCAAACCCCUAUAAUCUAUGUGUUUUUCAUGGAUUCAAGUAUGGAUUUACCCAUAUUGGGUAUUGAUUUGGUUGGAAUAAAAAGGAAAGAAAAAUAAAAUUUUCUAGUUUUGAAAAUCAUAACUUUUAGGUGCUUUGAAUAUCCACCGUUUUUUGAUCUAUGCAUUCUUUUCUCGAUCCGUCGAAGAGAGGUUCUAGAUAUAAGUGUUGAUUGGUAAACCCAAGUGGUAGAACUCAAAAAUCACGUUUCUAAAAGUCGUGGUGUUAAUUUUGGUGAAAACAGUCCCGUUUUCUUAAAACUGUUUUGGAUCAGUCUGAAACGGGGGUAAUUUCACCCACUUUUUGUGCUUUAAAAAGUAUGGAAAAAUUUGGAGUAUUAAUAUCAGAAGAUAUGAAGGUUGUGUAAAAAUUUGAGAAUUUUUGGUCAUACGGUUUGAGAGUUAUGGAGUUUACGGUGAAGGGCUAUUUUUAUGAAGCCACCCGAAUAACUCUCUGUGUAUAAGUCCAAAAAUUACAAAAUAUUUACUAGAAGAACAUGUGCAUAACAGGAACGUACUGUAAAAAUUUCAGAAUUUUUGGAGUUAAUCUCGAUUUAUAAAAAAUCCGAGAAUAUUUGGCUAUUAUGGACUAUUUAAAUAUAGUAAAUGGAUUUUAAAAAUUCCAAGAAAAAUAUAUGUUCAAUAUGGAACUAUAUUCUGUCAAAUCACAGAAAAAAAUUAUUUUUGGGACUGUUUUGAUAUUUUUCAUCUAAAUGAUGAUAAAUAGAUAAAUGGAUUUAAGUAAAUAUAUGAUGUCCAACAAUAUGAAAAAUAUGAUUUAUGACUUGAGACCCUUGAGCAUGGCUUAUACAGAUUUUUGAUAAAGUUUUGGGUCGGGUUUGAGGUGUUAUGAAGUUUAUGGCAUUUUAGAAUGCUUAAACAAGUUAAUUAAUAAAAGGAAAACAAUUGAAAACAAUUGUUUAUUAAUGUGAUUAAUGACUUAAAUUAUUCUUAUAUGAUUAAUAAUAUUGGAUUAUGAUAUUAUUAGUAGUAUUUGACUGAAAUGUUAUUAAAAGGUUAAUAACCUUAGCGUAAAAUAUUAUUACAUAAUUAAUAAUAUUUGAUGGGAGAUUAAAAUAAGAGAUUUAUGUUAUUUUUCAAUAUAAUUGUUGAAUUUGGUAUUCAAUGAACUAUGAUAUGCUUGUAAUAGAAUAAUGAGAAUUCAGGGUGCUGAAUUGGAUUUUGGAUUGCUGAAAUGGUUUCAGUCUACUAAAAUAUUUUUUGGUCUGCUGAAAUAGUAAUUUCAGGAUGCUGAAAUGUAAUUUGGUUUACUGAAAUGAUAUUUCAGUUUACUGAAAGGUUAUCUAGCUUACGAAGAUAACAGAUAAAGGGAAAACUUAUAAGUAUAAGUUAUAAGUGAGGAAAAGAUUAUCAAAGUAUAAUGAAAAUACUAAGACUAAGGUGUAAUGUCCAAUACUUAACUUUGUGAUUGAAGGUUAGACAAGUUAAUAUAAGAUGAUGAGAUUAUAAGUAAGUAAUGAAUAUGGUGCUAAGAUUAUCUAAUAUUUGACUAUGUGAUUAAGUGUUAGAUAGUAUUAUGGAAUAAGGUAUGAUAUGCUAAUUAAAAGAUAAAUCGUAUACCUGAUAGGUCUUUUCAAUAAAGAGAAUAAAUUAAAUUGCGUAGCGGUAAUCGACUAUGCAGGCAAGUUUCCUUAACUCAAACUUGAGUUGUAUGUUCAAUGCAUGUUAAUGAAUAAUUGUUGUUGAUUAUUCACGUCUAUACUCAUUAUUGAUUCGCACUUAGUGCAUGUUGCAUAUGUUCAUCAAGUAUGAAAGGUUGAUCACCUUCAUUACCAUAAGGUUUAGUUAAAUUGUUCAUGGUCAUUGUUGACCGUCAAACAUUAUUGAUUUAGUCGUGCAAUUAUUGAAACUUGAUUCAUGUUAUUUCAAAAUUAUUAUAUUGUUUAAAAAUUGAAAGCUUAUUCAUUCUUUUCAAUCAUGAUAUAUCUCCAUUGUAUUUAAAACUUGUUAGGCAAAUUUGUUGUUCACCCUUGCUAUAUCAUGAUAAAAUUUUCAGAUUAAGAUGAAAGCUUUAAUAAGGACAGAGGCAAAGGUAAAGUGCAAGAUUAAAUUAUGGUGUAGUUAGAUCUAUUAAAUUUUCUGAUGAAAAUAGCAUUGUAAACCUUUUUAGAUAUUGAAGGUAUGUAUUUAGUUAAGGUUGUAGACCUUAGGAAUGAUGUGUAAAAGUUUAAUAUAUAAAACAUUUAUGUUUAUAUCUUCCGCAAUAGUUAUAGAAAUGAUGUACCAGAUCUGAGGUAAAAAGUACCCAGAUUUGGGGACGUCACAGUAAAUGGCUAAAUAAAAAUUAUAAUUAAAUUGUUAAGGUUUAAUUUAAUUUCUUAAGAAACAUAAUUUAAUCCAAUUUAAAACAUCAAAAUUGGUUUAAUGGAUAAAUAAUUUGGGAAGAAUGUGGCUAAAUAAUUUAGCAAUAAGAAUUAAGUGUGACAUAUGUAUCAUAUAAUAGGGAAAUAAUAAAAUAAAAUAAAAAUAAACCAAGGGAGUUUAAUUGAGUUUAACCAAACAAGGCUUAGACUCUUUAUUUUUUUAACUGUUGAAACCUCUUAUUUACUAGUAACUGAUAACCCAAUUGAAAAACACGUUAAACCCAUUCUUCAGUUAUUCUCUACGCUCAUUUGCAAAGGCUGAAAAAAAGAGAAAUUGAGAGAGUGAGUUCUCGAUCUAUGAAGUUAGAGAGGAAGUCUGAGAAAUCAAAGAAGAGGAUGGAGAUUAAUCAAGCAAUAUAUAUCAUAUAUCUAGUUUAAGAAGGAUUCAAGAGGUAAUAAUCCAACUCUUGAACUCUUCGUUCUUAUUUUCUCAAUGUAAUAAUGCUGAAAAUUGGUUUGGGGGUACGAUUUGAUGAUGUUAUGUAUCAUCUAUAACUGAUUUUGAAGUAAUCAAAUUCGUGUUUAAGUGUAAAAGAAGAAGAAUUAGACUUUUGAUUUUAUUAUAUAUCUUAUGGACUGUUUUAGAGGCAAAAUUGGUUAUGAAUCCAUGUUUUAAGUUGUAAAUUGAUGGUUCAUUAUUGUAAUACUCUGAAAUAUGAAAACAAUGCAACUUGAAUGAAUUAAAAUGGUUGUAAAAUAAAUUCGUUGUGUAUGAUUUUGUAUAAAAUGUCAAAAUAGCAUGAACAUGAAAUUUAAAUCUUUAAUUUAGUUGUUGAAUGUUUUUGAGAUGUGGAAAUUGUUUUGUAAAUGUGUUCUGUUGUGUUUAAUGAGUUUAUAGCAUCUGAGAGUAGCUAAUUUAGUUCUAAAUUGAUAGAGAUAGUAAUUUUGGUUCGUAGUAGAGUCUGUGUAGCGAACUGCAGAAGCUAAGUCUGUACCACAACGCCGCCGUGCUAGUGCCCAGUACAAAAGUAGCGCGGUCGCGCCUGAAGCAGAACAGACCCAGUAAUGAACAGUUAAGUGUGCAGUUCGGAGGAAGUUAACUUAAUCUAUUCUAAUGAUUUUAGUGAAGGCUAAAACAUGUAAUACGACCUAAUAUCAGAUUGUAAUCACAAAGAUGAUGCUAUAAGUUAUGAACUAAGAAUUUAUGAAAGCCUUUAAUUCGAUGUCCGUGAGAAGUGGAGAUAUCUUUCAAACUCUAUUUCUUAUACUAUAUCCUAAUAGAGAGUUUAGAUUCAUGAUGUAUGAAUAACUAGGAUAUUCAGACCUUGAAUUAAGAUAAUAAAGUUAACUAAAGUAGGAACUAACCCAAUAAGGUUAGUUUUAACUAAUUGUUAUUGUGAUCUUAAUGAUCUAUGUUGGAUAUUUGAAGAGCAUGAAUUGUAAGUUUGUAACGAACGCACAAGGAAACUUUCCUAACCUUUGCUACUUUAAUAUUCAACGAUAUUUAUUAAUUUGUUCAAUAUCUAUGAUUCUUAAAUAAGCUUUUUAAUUCUUUCCGAAAGCAGUAUUUUAAUAGAUAAUGUUUAUUCAAUUAUGAAUCAUUGUUACUCUAUCAUUACUUAUGUACCAUUAUACGAGAUUAUAUUGUUAUCAAAUUCUUGAAUGGCUAUUGAACCCUUUUGAUUCAACUAGUCCCUAGUUGAUGAAUGUUCUAAAGAUCUAAAAUUUCUUUGAAGUUAUUCCAAACCAACUUGUCUAAGGUGUGGAUCCUAAUGUUAAAGCUGAGAUGAAAAACCCUAUAUUAGGGGUAUAAGUUAUCGAAAACUAUAAUUUUAAGCUACGUAAUAGGGAUAAUAUGUUUGUGCACAAUACAUAUUACAAAGGGUUGAUCACCUGGAGUACGAGAUGGAUGGUCCAUAGUCUCUAAACUGUUAAAGGUUAUAGUAGAAAUACUUGAUAACUUGGGACAUAGUUCGUGGUCUUGUGACCCUCAGUGGAUGCCUUUGAUCUUGAUGUCUAAGAUUUGUUUAAAAGUCUAUUAUUCCAUUGAACUCACAAUUCUUGAUUUAAAGUUGAUUGUUUCCAGUAAAGAGUAUAUUAUUGAGUGGAAACUUAUUCGUUUGUUCAUUAAUAUAUUGUUAUUGUAUAUUGUUCUAUUUUUGGGCAAAUUGUUUUUUCUCACUCUUAGAUAAAAAAUUUCAGCUAAGGUCAAAAAACCUGAGUAUCCGUUUACGAGCAAGGGCAAGGGCAAGGGCAAGAUGUAUAAGUAGUUGAUGUUUAGGCUAUCUUUUAUUUGAGAAUCUUAUGUAAUGAACUUAUUUAUGUUUAUGUUUUUUUCAUUGUUAAGAUGUAAUAAAUUAAGGUUAGAUAACGUGUAAUUUCGUUUGAAUAUGUAACCUUUUAUAAGGAUUAUUAUUUAUGAAGUUUGUUAUCCUAUAUUGUGGGU
rnacentral:lncRNA from 1 species